rnacentral:rRNA from 1 species
AGAGUGAACGCUGGCGGCAGGCUUAACACAUGCAAGUCGAGCGGGCGUAGCAAUACGUCAGCGGCAGACGGGUGAGUAACGCGUGGGAACGUACCUUUUGGUUCGGAACAACACAGGGAAACUUGUGCUAAUACCGGAUAAGCCCUUACGGGGAAAGAUUUAUCGCCGAAAGAUCGGCCCGCGUCUGAUUAGCUAGUUGGUGAGGUAACGGCUCACCAAGGCGACGAUCAGUAGCUGGUCUGAGAGGAUGAUCAGCCACAUUGGGACUGAGACACGGCCCAAACUCCUACGGGAGGCAGCAGUGGGGAAUAUUGGACAAUGGGCGCAAGCCUGAUCCAGCCAUGCCGCGUGAGUGAUGAAGGCCCUAGGGUUGUAAAGCUCUUUUGUGCGGGAAGAUAAUGACGGUACCGCAAGAAUAAGCCCCGGCUAACUUCGUGCCAGCAGCCGC